ACCCUUCUUUUAGCACCCAUUAUCAAUAUUUAGCACCGACGCCGCAUCUUCCUCCUCCGAAGGUGACGCGACGCCUUCCGAGGCUUUCCCUUCUCUUCGAUCGCAACGCUAAUCCUUCUCCGCUGUUUUCUCCGAUCGCUUGAUGUCGGCUGCACUGUCCAAAUCGCUCCCCCAGUCCCUCCAAUCCAGCCUGGGGCCGCUUUCUUCCCGUCGACAAAACUAAAGCUUCUUGCCCAUUUGUUUCGUUCCUUUUGCGGUGGAAGAUUCUUUUGGAGAUCUUGAUGGACCAUUAACAGAGCUUGGAGCCGAGUUAAUGGGGGUAAAAGAUCAGUUUUUGUCAGUUGUUUUUUUUUUCCGCUGGCGGGGCUUUUGUUAGAUCUAAAAUGGACUGUUUUGUUGAAGAUUUUGGAUUUUGUUAAGGCGCAUCAUUUGCGAUGGAGAUUAGCUGAUUACCUAUUAAUUUAACUGAAAAAUAAAGGACUUGUAAUUGAAGGCCAGGCGAUUUGUUCCAGGUUUGUCGUCUAUGGGGCGCAGUCCAUUUUGGUUGACAAGAUUGUUCUUCCCCUCAAAACCGAGUUAUUUAUUUUCAUGAUUUUGAUUCUGUAUGAAUAAAUCUGUUAAGAACCAGUACAUUCGUAUUAAAAACCAAACUGCUUUGUUCAAUUUUGUUGUUUGAUACGCUGGACGUGCGAUUGUUUUCUCUCUUUGGCACUCAAAAAGUUUGAUUUCUUGGUUCCUGUUUCCAUUCGCUAUAAUUUCACAUGGACAUAACUGCUUGAUUGCAAUUGCAUUACCUUUGUGUCUUCCUUGUUUCUGACUGUGCGCCUAUUCCUUUCAUUGUGGCUCACCAAAGUAACCUUUUGAACCACUAUAGUGUUCAUCUCGUCAUUCCUUAGCUCAUGAUGACAUGCCCUGGAUCUUCGAAUCUAUUAUAGUCAAUUUUUUCUUUUGCUGUGGUAAAAAAAAAAUCUCUAAUCAAUAGUUAGAAGAAACUUCUUUUUGUAUCUUAUUUGAAUAUGUGUACCUGUGAUAUAAACAAUUACCUCCUCAUACCUAUGAAUUUACUUAUUUCCCUCAUAUGUUUUCUUUUUAAAAUGCUUCGAUCAAAACCUUGCUCUUUCAAUCAGAUAAUGUGUCUUAAGUCUUCACUUUGUGUUGCAUGACAACGCUAAUGAGUGACUGAUGAAACAAUAUUUUCAUCAGAUAUGUGAUAUGGUUGCUAUUGCAAGAUAUUAGUAUCAGAGUUGGAUAAGACAUCUUUUUGGGAUGAUCCUAGGUGUGUGUGAAUUUAUAAACCUAACUCUUGCAGUGAUAGCAUAAUUCAUAACAGAUUUUUGUUCAAGUUUCAUACUAACACUCACUAAAUUAGUAUGUCUUGAGGUGCCAGUGAGUUUCAAGACAUUUUUGAUGUCGAUCACUGUAUCGCUUCAUUAAGAGACGAGGUCCGGAUAUUGAAAGAGCUGCCACCUAGAUUAAAGAGGAAGGCUGAACUAGGAAUGGUGUACUUUAUCACUGCAUGAGCAGAUUCUUCCUUUGGUGAAGAUGUACAAGGUUGUAUGCGUCAAUAGAACGGAUGCAAGGCUUGCAAACAAUGGUCUACCUCCAGAGAUUGAGAAGUUGCGUUGCCGAGUAAACUAGAUGCUCUGAGAUUCACUGCUCAGAUUGAAGAAUUGGGUCGACAGGUAGUGACUAUUCUGCAGAAAAAUGGCCCUUUUUUGGUUUUUCAUUUAAGAUAUGAGAUGGACGCGUUGGCCUUUUCUGGAUGCACUGACAGUUAUACUACUGAAGAGGCCGAAGAGUUGACAAGAAUGAGGUAUGCAUAUCCGUGGUGGAAAGAGAAAGUUAUCGACUCUUAAACUAGAAGGAAGGAUGGACUCUGCCCUCUAACACCAGAAGAGACCAAAUAAGUUUCCAAAUCUGGUGAAUUUCUGUAGAAGCUUGUCAUGGCUUAAUUAUCUUAUAGUUCUUAUUUUGCCUAGUUAGCUUUCUGAUCUAAGAACAGGUUAGAAAGGAAAUGAUUCUGAGACAAUCAGAUCUGAAAUAUUUCCAGAACCGCUCGUCUCAGAUGGCGGCAUUAGAUUACAUUGUUUCCUCUAACAGUGAUAUCUUUAUACCUACAUAUGAUGGAGACAUGGCUAAGGCUGUUGAGGGUCAUGGAAGAGCCUUGGGUUUCAAGAAGACCAUUGUCUUAGACCGAAAACUCCUUGUUGAACCGAUCGACCAGAACAAUAAAUGGAGCUCUAGGGUGGGAUGACUUCUCUUUAUCAGUCAAGGUUGCUUGUGCUAAUCGCAUGGGAAGGCCUACUUGGCAAACGGUAAUUGCUGACAGGCCUAAGGAAUAAGACUAUUUCUAUGCCAAUCCACAAGAGUGUUUCUCACAGCCUGAUAAACCAUGGACUUCAUGAGCUCUAUCAUUGUAUUAUUCACUUCCAGAUCACGAUGUUUCAAGGAACAUCAACCCGGCAUUCUGCUGAGUUACUUGCUCCACUGUAAGAAAAAUAUGCAGGUUUUCCUUCAGAACUCAUUGAUGUACACGAAAAGGUUAGCAUACUGGAGGAGUUAUCACUAAUGGAGUUUCUCAAACCUACAUAUUUGUUACAAAUCGUCUCCUCGUCAAAAUAAAGCUAAUUCUUGUGCAUAAAGAUGGGCACGGAAAGAUAAAAAAACACAGCAACUUCAGCUACAUGUACAGUAUAGGAGGAAAAGACUUAUUUAUCUGAAUUCACAAUCUUGUUUUAUGAUAGUUUCCUUUCUAUCUCUGAUGAUUGAAAAUAUGAAUUUUGUUCUAGUAAAUCAAAUCAUGUUUAGG